AUAGAUACCCGGGUAGUCCACGCCGUAAACGAUGAGUGCUAAGUGUUAGGGGGUUUCCGCCCCUUAGUGCUGCAGCUAACGCAUUAAGCACUCCGCCUGGGGAGUACGGUCGCAAGACUGAAACUCAAAGGAAUUGACGGGGGCCCGCACAAGCGGUGGAGCAUGUGGUUUAAUUCGAAGCAACGCGAAGAACCUUACCAGGUCUUGACAUCCCAUUGACCGCUAUGGAGACAUAGCUUUCCCUUCGGGGACAGUGGUGACAGGUGGUGCAUGGUUGUCGUCAGCUCGUGUCGUGAGAUGUUGGGUUAAGUCCCGCAACGAGCGCAACCCUUGUUCUUAGUUGCCAUCAUUUAGUUGGGCACUCUAAGGAGACUGCCGGUGACAAACCGGAGGAAGGUGGGGAUGACGUCAAAUCAUCAUGCCCCUUAUGACCUGGGCUACACACGUGCUACAAUGGACGGUACAAACGGUUGCCAACCCGCGAGGGGGAGCUAAUCCGAUAAAACCGUUCUCAGUUCGGAUUGUAGGCUGCAACUCGCUACAU
rnacentral:rRNA from 1 species